UUUAAAGUCUGGCACAAAAUCAUUUAGUGGCAAAACUUGACCUGUUUUGAAUGAAUUCAAAUUAUUUAUGGAGUUUAUUUUUCCAACUUAAUGUGAUUAUUCAUAGACUUCAGAAUCUUUUUUUUUUAAUACUUAUUUAUUUAUUUGAAAGGUAGAGUUACAGAGGCAGAAGAAGAGAGAGAGAGAGAAGUCUUCUAUCUGCUGGUUUACUCCCCAGAUGGCUGCAAUGUCCAGGGCCAGGCCCAUGUGAAGCCAGAAGGCUGGAGCUUCUUCCAGGUCUCCCACAUGGGUACAGGGGCCCAAAGACUUGGGCCAUCUUCCACUGCUUUCCCAGGCCAGAGCAUAGCAGAGAGCUGGAUUGAAAGUGGAGCAGCCAGGACUUAAACCUGUGCCCAUAUGGGAUGCCGGCACUGUGGCAGCUUUACUAGCUACGCCAGCCUCUCACUACACAAUCUUAACGUAUUUGAAUAAAGAGUUCUUCUCUAGGACUUGUGGAUUUUAUGUCCUUAAUGGCAUAUCUCUGUAGUAUCUUUCUUAAAAUCUAUAAGGAGUUGGGGAAGCAGAAUUUUAAGACACAUUUGGUUACAAGAUGUUUGAAUUUGAAAUUUGUACCAAUAUUAGCACCUGCCUUUAAGGGGUUGUUGUGUAGACUCAAUGAAUUAACAUAUGUAAAACUCUACUACAUAGCACAAAGUAAACAGUAAAUUUUCCUUAGUAUUAUAAGACCUUUUUUUUUAAAGUAUUAUUUUAUUUAUUUAAAAGUCAGAGUUACACACAGAGAGAGAAGGAGAGGCAGAGAGAGAGGUCUUCCAUUCCGCUGGUUCACUCCCCAAAUGACCGUAACAGCCAGAGCUGAGCUGAGGAGCCAGGAGCUUCUUCCAGGUCUCCUAUGUGGGUGCAGGCGCCCAAGGAGUUGGGCCAUCUUCUACUGCUUUUCUGGCCAUAGCAGAGAGCUGGAUCAGAAUAGGAGCAGCAAAGACUCGAACUGGCACCUACAUGGGAUGCUGGCACUGCAGGCUGGGGCUUUAACCCGCUGUGCCACAGUGCCGGCCCCAGACCUUUUGUUUUUUCUGCUAUUGUGGGAGUGAGAUCUAUAAUUCCAUUUGUAUUUUAUUGGAGACCUGUUUGUCUCUUUUAGCUCUUAUCCUGAUGACUGGCUAAUGUAUAUUGUACCAGUUGUUGGUUGGUUGGGUUUUUUGUAUGUUUGCCUUUUUUUUUUUUUUGAGACAGUUGAGGAGAGGAGGAGAGCUCAUCAGGAUUUAUGGGAAGCUAGGCUUUGAAAGCCUGAUCCCUGCUCUCAAUACUCAGACUUGGUAAAAAGCCCUGUUUAGAGUUUACUAUAACUAUCUGAAGUCUUGUGUGAGGCCCAACAAAGUACCCAGCUUGGGGUAGAGCCUGGAAGCUGUUCCUUGCAUACAAGCAAGGUAUGCUGGGAUUUGACUCCUUUACCUGCAUCUCCUAAUUGCUGCUUCUACUUCCAAAAAGUAGGUGACACUUGUGGGUUGAACUUGCAGCUUCAUCAUUAGUUGAGAGGGAACAGUACUGCAAAUGAGUUUCUGGAUCUCUUGAACCCUCAAAGGAACUUGUUUUGUUUCUCUUCUGUAUAUGUGUAUUUAUAUAUACAAAUAUAUGUGUGUGAGUGUGUGUGAGUGUGUUUGUGUACUUUCUGUUUUGCUAGAUACAUAUAUUUUGUUGGAUAUAAUUAACUCUAGGCGAUAGUGAAUAGCCUGUCUCCUCUUUGCAGCUUUGUUCUCACAAGGAAAAAACAAGACACAAAACAGACAGUGAAUUAUGGAGGCUUUUUUUCUUGAAUUGGUGAAGACACUGGUAGCUGUUUAAGUUUCUCUUCUUUGAAUCAUAUUUACAUUUAGUCUUCUUGUAUUAGAAGUAUUAUACCUUUUUUUGAAGAAGUUUAUGGAAAGUGGAACUAAAAACUAAAUUUUCGUCCAAAAAUUUUGAAAUCCAUGUAUCCUAGGGUCUUCAAAAAUGUUUACAGAAAGUAUGUAUUGUUUUAAACAAACACUAUGCGUGGAUUUUAAAAUUAUUUAGCAGCAAAAUAAAGUUAUUUAUCUGUCAUAUGAGAGAAUCUGUGAUGGUUUCACUCUACCAACUUUUUCAUAAUAUCCUUCCUGCUACAUUAUGUGUUAUAGUAAGAAGAAAUGUUGCCCUAUUGGGCAGCUCACAGGAAUCCAUACAUAAAGGUAACUAGACACAGACAAUUUAAUUUUUUUAUGCAGAAAGAAGCCAGAAGAAGCCCACAGAACUGAGCUCUACCAAGUGUCACAGUGAAAAAGCUUCAUCGUUAAUGUGCACCAAUCAUGCUUUUCAUAUAGUCAUCUCUCUAUCCAUAUUUUCUGAACAUAGGCUAAAAGGUUAAGACCUACAGAUAGAGAAGCAUAAAUAAGAGAAACUGAAAUUCCUGCCUUCGGAGAGCUUACAUUCUAUUGGUGAAAAGCAGAUAAUAUGCUAGUUAGUACAUCCUGUAACUUAUUGGAAAAUCUAAGAGCCGUGGAGAAAGAUAAAUCACAGCAAGCUGGUAGGGCUGGGGGCAAGGGUAGCUUGCAAUUUCUCCAAUUUGGGGAAGGCUUCAUGAGAAGAUGACAUUUGAGAAAAGUUUUGACAAACACAAGGAAGAAAGUCAUGUAUAUUUCUGGAGAGAAUAGUAUUCAGGCAGAGGGACAUAGCAAGAUAAUGUUUUUCUCUAUUUUUAUUUUUCUUCUCCUUUCUUCUGGAUAUAGCAGAUAAAAGUUACUUAACAACCUGGCAACUCGGAAAAUUGUUUCAGUUUUCACCUCCAUAUCCAUGCACAGCAUAACCUUUAAGGACUGCAUACUUUAAAACAAAUACUCAUGUUUGUAAUAAAACAUAUUUGUAACUUUAAGUACUCCUUUUGGCUAUACAAGAAUGAGAAUGCAAAAAUUAGCCACUGUCAAUAAAUACAUGUUCUAAUAAAUUUACCUUGAUGCCCAUACUUUGAGUUAGCAUAUGUAGAUUAUUGGUUAGAUCCAAGCAGCACGUCUGAUUGGGCCUCAGCAAAGACAAGUUCCAUGAACUGAUAGAAAAUCUGACAGACUAUUUUAAGCAAAAAUGGCUUCUUUUUUCUUCUAUUUGUAUCUUGCUGCUUAUUUAUUGGCUAAAUGGUGGCCUAGGUUUAAACUGUGAUUUCCUCUAUACUCUCCACAUUGAUCUACUUCAUAAAAUAGAGGAAAAUGAUCUAAAAGCAAACAUGGACUUUUGCUUCAAUGGGCUGCUUGGUUUUAUUAGUUGAUAUCAAUUUGAAAGCACAUUGUUCUCUAGAGAGAAUAUACGUCUAUUUUUAUUUUUUUAAAAAAGAAUUUAACAAAUAACUUUCAACAUAUGCCUAAUUCUACUGGGGAAAGGCAUCAAUAAAACAGUAUUUGGGAUUUAGAACAAUGAUCUAAAAAUAGCUCUUUUCCUCUUUUGGAAAAAAAAUCACUGUGAAAUGAUUUUUCCUUCUCAUUCUGAGCAUUGCAUAAAGCAAAACCAAUUCGCAGCGACUCUAAGUAUAUUCUCAAAAAGAAAUCUCCAGUCAUUUUCAGCUCAGGACCCUGGAGACCUCAUUAUACUGCCAUUACAAGCAGACCUGCCUUUCUGCUAGUGGAUUGACCAAGUGGCACAGGGAUUGCUAUGCAGAUACAUUUCCUAGUAGCUGGCAUACAUACAAAUAUGCCCAAGCAUACUUCCCUCUGCGUAGUCAUUGUGUUUCUGGAAAAUUGUGCUUUGAUUUCAUUGUAUUUUAAAAAACUUACACCAGCGAUUCUCCCAGGGCAUACUCCCUAGGCAGGCUUAUCAGUAUCACUGAUGUUUAGAAGUCUUUGUGAAAAUUCCAUGUUUGGUGUCACCUUCUUUUGCUACCUCAUUUGACAGGAACUGCUUCCAUUGUGGGUGGGAAUCUCCACUGUGAAGAUUAUUAUUAUUCUUUGGAAAAUCACUCUGGAAAAAAAAAAAAAAAAACUAAAUGAAAGAUCUCCACGAGUGAGAUCCCAGUGGAAAGAACGGGUCAUCAAAGAAGAAGGUACCUUUCUCUGAAGGGAGGAAAGAACUUCCACUUUGACCAUGGCCUUGUCUAAAUAUGAUCAGAGUCAGUGAACUCAGGGGGCUUCCAUAGCCUUGGCACCUCAUGACAAGAGCCUAGGGUGAUUACUGAUGCCAUAAACAAGAGUGUCAAUUUGUUAAGUCAACAACAGGUGUCACUGUGCACUUACUCCUCAUGUAGGAUCUUUGUCCUUAGUGUGCUGUACAUUGAGAUUUAAUGCUAUAACUAGUACUCAAACAGUAUUUUUUCACUUUAUGUUUCUGUGUGGGAGCAAACUGUUGAAAUCUUUACUUAAUGUAUGCUAAACUGAUCUUCUGUAUAUAAAGAGAACCGAAAAUUAAUCUUGAUGUGAAUGGAAGGGGAGAGGGAGUGGGAAAGGGGAGGGUUGCGGGUGGGAGGGACGUUAUGGGGGGGAAGCCAUUGUAAUCCAUAAGCUGUACUUUGGAAAUUUAUAUUCAUUAAAUAAAAGUUUAAAAAAAAAAAAGAAAAUGUGAUGGCUCUCAUAAGAAUUAGAGUGAAGGAUGAAAACUCCAAGAGGGUUCUUUCUCUAUGAUCACACAGAAUGAAGUCUGAACCUCAAUCUUGUGGCGUUUCACAUAACUUGUUCUAAUCCUUUGUUCUUAUGUAUGUCCUCUGCUGUGAGGAACAAAGUGAGGAUAAGAGUGGAGAUUGUUUGUUUUGUAAUAUCUUGGACAUAGCAACUGCUCAAUAAAUAUUUAAGUGGUUCAAUAAAUAAUUUCAAAGAUACUGUAUUUGCAGAGGUUAAAGUAGUAUAAGGUUAUCUCAGUCUUUGAGGGAUUUAAAAUCUAAUUAGCCGAAUAAGGCAUACAUAUGUAAGGAGGAAACACAGAUCUUGGCAGUUUUCUAAGGAGAAUAAAUCCUGUUAAACAAGAGACCAUUUUAACUUGCUGAGCACCUUGAUAUAUUUGCAUAUACAAAUGUAGGCCUGAUGUUGAUUUUGAUGGUAAGCAGUGGAAGGGAUUAGAUUUCUCUACACAGUAGAAUAGUACAAAAAUGGGAGUUUCUACGCAGUGCUCCAUAAUGGGGAUGGGGUAAAAGAAGGUGAGUGAGAGGAGAGAGGAGGAACUGAAGUGAAGCUGGGGUGUAAAGAGCUAAAAGGUCAGUAAAAUUUCCCAAUAUGAAUUUCCAGAUUUUAAUAUUAUGUUGCCUUUUUUUAUUAUUGUGGUAUAGAUCUCUGCUCUGUCACCCUUGUUUCUUAAUAAUGACUGGUGAAUCCAGAUCUGUGCCUACAAGGCAGACGCAUUACUUAUAGAAUAUACACAAUUUCUGAAUCUGCAUAGUACAAAAUGCAACCAACUAGACAUCUCUAUGAUAUAAAUUUCUUCUAUUUUCCAAACUUUUGCUUGAAUCUGUCAUUUACACAAAACAUGUAUAAAUAGGUUUUUUUUUUUUCUGUUUUAUAGUUGGUUGUUUUUACUUUGCAGAUCUCAGGAAAGAGAUUGAGUUUUAUUUCUCAACUGAUCCGGGGCAGAAUAGAAAUAGCAUGUAUAGCAGGUGAUCUAUAUACUCAAUUAGUUGCAAAAGAAGGGGUUCAGAGGCAGAGGAGACUAUGAGCACAAAAGCCCCUCAAGAAUUCACUAGACUCUUGGUAUAUGGGGACUUGCAGGAGUGGAGUUUGGGACUCAUUUAGAUAGAUCUUAAUGGGUAGAUAGGUUUUAGCUAACAUCAGAAAUAUAUGAAGAGAAUAUAUGAAUAUAUAUUGAUAUAUGAAGAGAAGAAAUUGAAAUUACAUUGCAAUUUAUUAUAAGUGAUGAAUGACAAAAUAAACAGCAGAGAAGUUUAAAGUGGGGGAAGUCAUUUGAGCUGAGUCACAGGGAAACAUUUCUUGAGGGAAUAUGAACUCAAUAUGAAACUUGUGAAAGUCAGUAGACUUCCAAUAGGGGAUUAUUACUCAUAAUAUUAUUUGUUAUAGGAAUUCUGCUUUAAGUAUUUAUUCAGUUUCUAUAAUAUGUAUGUCAGGCACUAUACUAGAGUGUUCUGAUGCAAAGAUCAUUCAGCCAUAUUUGUCCACAAGGAACACAAAAUCUAAAAGCACAAUGUCAUAAAUAAGUAAUGAUAACAUAUUACUGUGGCAUGUGUCCUUGACUGGUAUAUAAGUGAAGAACACACAUGGGAGUGGUUCUGUCCUCUCGUGUUAUUUUAGGGUGGAUUUCACUAAGAAGUUGACAUCUGAACUGUGCCUGAAGGCCUCAUGUAGAUUGAAUAGGCAGAGCACAAGAAAGGAUGUUUCAAAUAGAAGGAACAAUGUAAGCAAAGCUAAGAGACUUGAAGUGCAGGUUAUGUAAAGUACAGAAGAGUCCAAGGCCGAAGGGCAGGGAAUGUAUUGCAAGAAGCCUGGAAUAUUCCUGGGCAGCAAGGAGGUGAAAGGUUUGAAGGGAAUUAUUUAGAGAGAGCAACAAGCCAUCACAGAUUUCUAAGUUGGCAAAUGUGAUUGGAUUUGUUUUGGAUAGAUAAUUGAUUGGAGAAGAGGACAAAACAGGAGAAUUUAAGGGCUAAGACUUUCCUGAAUUUCAUCUGUGCCAGGUACGUUCUCAGUAUUUGACACAUAUUAAUUGCUCGUGACAAUGCCAAGAGGUACGUCGUAUUGUUAAUCCCAGGUUCCAUAGCAGCACUGGCAGAACUAAGUUUGAAGCCCUUUGUUCUGACUGCAGACAAUGCAUUAUUAAGUACUACAGUAUACUGCCUCUUAAAAUUAAGAAAUUAAAAUUAAGGCAAAAGUCCAAGGUAGAGAUUAUGAGAUCUUAAAAUAGGAAAAUGUGUACAGGAAUGACAAAAUGGAGACAGAGCCUGAAGCCAUGACAGGGAGUUUGGGAGAAAUAAAUAAAAAAAGAUGAAUUGGUUUUCUUGUUUGGGUUGCCAGAAAUAUGUUGAAGUUAUUAAUUAAAAGAAACACAGGCAUAUACUAAAAAAUAAGAAAAAAUACAGCUUUUCAAUAUGUCAUCAUUUUAUGUACUCAAAACAUAUCUAACCAAAUGGUGACAUUGACUUCAAUAUAUAUGGACAACUUCAAAUUCAUGAAAAUAAUAAAAUGUAGAUGUUACAAAAUAUUAAAUUUAAACCUGUACUACAUAAUGCCAAAAAUUCAGAUACAAAGAGGAGUUUCAGAAGUUAAUUAAUCAAUCACCGCAUUGUUUUGUGUCACCUGAUGAGAACAUCUGGAAGACUGAAUGAGUUUCACUUUUAAUAUACUUUCUUUGCUAUUAUAUAGCUGCCAGAUUUAAGAAAUGAGGCCAAUCUCAGAGAUAUGUAUGCAAAAAAGCAGACAAUAAUAGCAUCUGUGGCUGUUUCUGGAUUGUAAAAACACUUAGCCGCUGGCACGUGCAUAUAGAUUGCUGAAUUUUGUGAAAUAAUAAAAAUAAUAACGCUUUAUAUUGUUUUGCAUAGUUUUCAGUGCUUUCCCAGGGGGAAAAUACAAAAACCAAUAUGCAUGUGUAUUCCAAAAUGAUUAGUAAUACAGCAAUAUGUAUGGAUUUUUAAUAUUUUUAUGUACUUCCUGAAUCUCUGUAAUGUAUUCAGAGCUGAAAUAACAGGGAUCACAGCGAGUUCAGCUGAGUCAGAUCAUACAUGUUUUUUUCCUUGUAUAUUUUAUAAACUAGGGAGAAUGUUAGGAUGUUUUAUUUCUUGCUGUAUAUGUAGGAUGACCGAUUUAGAAGAUGACCUUCCUUUGCUGGGCCCUAUGCUUUCACACUGUUGAUGUUUUCCACUUAGUUUUUUGAUUUGUUUCUUCAUUCAGUGUGUGUUCAGCUGUUUCUGUGUGCACCAUUAUGACAUUUCAUUUGAUGCCACUGGUGGAUGGGGAUUCUGCCUACUCAUGCAUGGUAUGGCAUGGCGGAGAGACAGACAGAAGUGUGCUGAAUGAAAGACUCUAGUUGAAAAUACUGAGUAAUGAUAUACUUUUAGGAAUGCCUAGAUAAUUAUUUAAAACAUAAAUCCCAUCAAUAAAUUUUAUGUGUCGGUACACAUCAUAUAAAGGGACUUCAAAAAUUCAUGGAGAAAUUUAUUUAUUUUGGUCCACAACUUUUUUGUGUCUUUAAAAACAGCACAUAUCAGAUUUUUCUUUUUUCCAUAUUUUUUUUCUUAUUUGAGAGGUAGAGAUACAGAGGGCUCUCAGCUUCUGGUUAACUCCCCAAAUAUCUGCAACAGCUGGGAAAGGAGUGGGCCAGAGCCAGCAGCAGGAAAAGCAAUCCAGGUCUGUUUCAUGGGUGGCAGAAGCCCGAUUACUUGAACCGUUGCCUCUCAUGGUCUCCAUUGGCAGGAAGCUGGAUUUCGAUGUUAGAGGCAGGCAUUGAACAUAGAGUAAUCCAUUGUGGGAGUCUUAGCCAACCUUUUAACUGCUAGGCUAAAUUUUGAAAUCCAUGCAUGAUUUUUUCAUAGCUUACAUAAUCCACAGACUUCUUGAAGAAACUUCCUCUAUGAAAAUUGAGGCAAAUGAUACUUUUGUUUCACAUAUCCCCAGGAAAGUGUAGGUAAGUAAAAUCUUUAUUCCUGAGGAAUUUAAAGAAUAGCAAUCGAUAGUUGUAUUUUGACAUAAUAAUAUCAGCAGUAAUGAUUAGCUAGUGAAUAUCUACCCUGCUAGGAACUUAGCAGUUGGAAGUGCUAGGCACUUAAAUUCUUUUGGUUUUUCAUAUCAACAACCACCUAGUGAGUUAGUAGUAUUAUUCCUAUUUUACAGAUAAAGAACACAAACUCAAAGAGAUCUAGUAACUUACUUGAGGUCGUGCUCUGAGUAAAGCAAGCCUUGAACACAGUUGUGCUCUGAAGGCUGUGUGUGCUCUUUUUAUUCCUGCUACACAUGGACAGCAUCACAAGACACUCAGCAGGGUGAAAGGUAUCAAAGGCUGAAAGAAUUUCAAUGAAUGAAUUAUAGAAGUCGUUUACCGAUUAAGAGUGCAGCAAAGAUCCCCAAAACACUGCAUUUAUGUUCAGUAUUUAAGCUUAACUGCUCACAUACUUGAAUUUAACCAGAAUUGGCAACUUUUUAAUAAAAUCUGAGGCUUUCUUCAUGAAUUGCCAUUUCUGUUAGAAUGUAGAAAACUAAAUUGGCUCACAUCCAGGUGAGCUUGGUCAAAGUAAUGACCAAGUAUCUGUUAAUGCACUCAAGUCAAUUCAUGAUUUUUCUUCUUUGCCUUAUUAGACUAUAUGUGAUUUCCUGGUGGUUUAUAAAAAUACCACAAUGUUAGUGAAGAGAAAGGGUCUGAUGUAUGAGCGUUCUCUGUCUACCUUGGCUGUGUCAUAUCGUCUUCAUUGGUGGUUAUUGGCAUCUGCUGCUGGUACCCCUGGUUCACGGUUGCCAGGUCCAAGUGCUUCAAGUUUUCUCCUUCAAACUCCGAGUUCCAUCAUCAGACUUACCUAUUUCCUCUUAGAGGACCUAGAAAACUCCUUUCCUUACAACACUCUAGGACUCCCAUGACUUUGCCAACCUGCCUGUAGGCUCGUCUGUCUCUCUUGCUUUGUCAGGAGUAACCACUUUACUGGCAGGUACUAUGUUGGAUGGAGUCCUCCUCUGUGCAUUCUGAAGCCUCUCAGGCCUUCUCAGGGGCACAUGUCUUCUCUGCUCUGGGAUGCAAACUUAUCUGCCUUUCUAUGUUUCCGUGCCCUUGACUCAGCUCUUCUGUAGGGGCAGGGUACAGAACCUAUUGCUUAGAGAACCGUAUAGGAGAUAACUAUUUUAAUUUCAUUUCUGUUUCUGAAUAUAUAUUCUUCACCAGCCCAGAAAUUUUUCCCCUCUGGGAAGUUGGAAAAUCUGAAGAGGAAUCUGUUCUUUCAACUUCUGUUUAUGGGUCCUUCAGAGUUUUGGCUCUUUGUGUUUAAAGCUAAGCUUUUAGUGUCCAAAAAGAUUUUUUAAAAAGCUUGAUUUUUGCAAAUAAAAAGCACCUUGCUUUCAAAGCUAUUGUGUUUGCUCUGAGUUUCACAAUUUAUAGAUUCAAUUGACUUAUACUCUUAGCUAUAUAUACCUUUCCACCGAGGAAACAAAUGCCAACUGAUUUAGUGAGGAAAAUGUUGUAGGGCAAUGAGCAUAAUAGUGGAAAACAAAACACUUUAUUAACAGAUAAUUUUAUGUCUUCACAUUAAAUUCCAUGCUAAAUAUUUUUCUCCCUUCAAGAAACACCACCCUCUCCCACCUCACCACCCCCACAUGUAGGCAUUAAUGGGAUUGGGGUGUCUGCAGUCUGUUUCUCCAGAUGUAUACUCCCCCACACAAGACAGUACACAGAUAUAGGACCAUUUCAUCGUAUGUGUCUGGCAUUCCAGUGUGUAUAGGAAACCUGGUUACCUCCCUCAGCUGGAAGCAUUAUAUUCCUCAAGUAACUCCUUUGAUUUGAUGUUUGCUAGGUGGCAAGACUUGAAGACAGGAACAGCUUUCCUGAAAAAGGAAAAGAAAAGAGGCAUGACAGCCCUUUUAGAAAAGUAACAUAUGCUUCUCCUGGUCUUUUUGCCAGUGCUAUGUCUCUGCAGAGUCCUAGUCCUAGUUCUCAAAGACAAGUUGGAAAUUAGACUCUCUAGAGCCUUGGCUCUUACUGGGACAAUUUGACUCAUAUUUAUGCCUCUCUGGUAUUUUGAAACCCUGAAAACCUACUACAGUAUAAAAUUCACAAUAUUUAUAAAGGCAAAACAAAAGAGAGGAGCUUGUUCUUUUAAAACUCUUAGUAUGCUGGCACUGCAGCUCACUAGGCUAAUCCUCCGCCUUGUGGCGCUGGCACACCGGGUGCUAGUCCCGGUCGGGGCGCCGGAUUCUGUCCCGGUUGCCCCUCUUCCAGGCCAGCUCUCUGCUGUGGCCCGGGAGUGCAGUGGAGGAUGGCCCAAGUGCUUGGGCCCUGCACCCCAUGGGAGACCAGGAUAAGUACCUGGCUCCUGCCUUCGGAUCAGCGUGGUGCGCCAGCCGCAGCACGCUGGCCGCGGCGGCCAUUGGAGGGUGAACUAACGGCAAAGGAAGACCUUUCUCUCUGUCUGUCUCUCUCACUGUCCACUCUGCCUGUCAAAAAAAAAAAAAAAAAAAAAAAAAAAGAAAAAAGAAAAAAAACCACUCUUAGUAGCUCUGUGAUAGAAUCUCUCUGCCAAGUUAGGUUUUGUUCAAUACUUGCCACAUAAACUGGAGUUGUUCAGUACCAUCCUGGGAGGAGACUUGGUUCUUUUAUCAUUCAGCAUAUUUUUUUUAUUUGACAGAGUUAGACAGUGAGAGAGAGAGACAGAGAGAAAGGUCUUCCUUCUGUUGGUUCACCCCUCAAAUGGCCUCUGUGGUCAGAGCUAUGACGAGCCGAAGCCAAGAGCCAGGUGCUUCUUGGUCUCCCAUGCGGGUGCAGGGGCCCAAGCAUUUGGGCCAUCCUCCACUGCCUUCCCGGGCCACAGCAGAGAGCUGGACUACAAGAAGAGCAACCAGGACUAGAACCCUGUGACCAUAUGGGAUGCCGGUGCUGCUGGUGGAGGAUUAACCAAGUAAGCCACAGCGCCGACCCUCAGCACAUUUUUGUUGCAAGCUAAAUUAAGGUCUUUUUUGUACCUACUCUUUUAUUUUUAAUUUUUAAAGAUUCAUUUAUUUUGAAAGUCAGAAUUUUUUAAGAAUUAUUUUUUAUUUAUUUGAAAGGCAGAGUUACAGGGAGAGGUGGGGAGGUUGUUAGAAACAGAGGUCUUCCAUCUGCUGGUUCACUUGUCAAAUGGCCUCAGUGGUUGUGGCUCUCCACUCCGAAGCAAGGAGCCACUAGUAGUUUCUUCUGGGUCUCUCUUGUGGGUGCAGGAGCCCAAGUACUUUGGCCAUCUUCUGUUGCUUUCUCAGGGAAUUACCAGAUUGCUGAAUCGUAAGUGGAACAGCCAGGACUCCAACCUGCACCCAAAUGGGAUGCCUCUGUCACAGAUGAGGCUUGCCCUACUAUACCACAAUGCCUCAGAGAGAGAGUGUGUGUGUGUGUGUGUGUUUGUGUGUGUGUGUGUGUGUGUGUGAGAGAGAGAGAGAGAGAGAGAGAAAGAGAGAGAUUGAUCUUCCAUCCUCUGGUUCACUCCCCAGAUGGCCAUAAUAGCCAGUAGGGCCAGGCAAAAGCCAGGAGCCAGGAGCUUUAUUUGCAUCUCCCACUUGUGUGGCAGGGGCCCAAACAUUUGGGUCAUCUUCUGCUGCUUUUCCAAGUCCAUUAGCAGGGAGCUGCAUCAGAAGCAGAGUGGUCAGGACUUGAACCAGCGUGCAUAGGUGAUGCCGGUGUCUCAGGCGGUACUUAAUGCCGCAGUGCCAGUCCCUGUUUUUGUACUUUAACUCACAAUAGAGUUACAGUCCCCAUAAGCCUUUGGUCAUUAAUAUCCAUCCAAGCUGUCAUCUGAGAGACAAUGGAUAAGUUCUCAUACUGUGUGAUUUCUGUCACAACCACAGGGUUCGUUUGAUUUCCUAAUGCCACUCUGAACCUCUUAGGAAUAAAAGAACUUUGACUUUUUCCAGUUUUCCCUUAAUUUUCACAUAUUCCCUCACCUAUUUUAGCAUCUUACUGUGAUUUUGAUUUACCUUUCCUUAAUAACCAAGUGUUACUGGUCAUGGCUGGGGUGGUGGCAGAGGCAGAGAGGCAGUGCAGGAGCAAGUGUUGUGGGUUCUUUUCCUCAGCUCAGUAUAGAAAUAAAAAGCCAGGAAACAAUUUGCAAAGAAGCAGAAACUUUUAUUUCAUUGUCAAGCAACAGAUAAAGCAUCUGGUCCUAGAGGAGACCAGGUGAAGUACCCGAGUGGGACACUGGAUUUCAGGAAGUGUCCAGGGUUUUUAGGGCAUUGCACUCUGUUCAUUGGGUCAUUCUAUUUGGGGUGCCCAUUGGAUGGGGGUUCCACAUACAGUAUGUUGGUUGGCUUGGGGCUCAUGAAAUAGUGGGGGUCUCCUGGAGACAGCUUGACUUUCCCCAGGGUCUCAACCCCUUCCUCUUUCAGUUCUGGAUGAAAGAUUGCAAUCACUCCUAGAUGCAGCACAAGAAACUAUUAGUGGGGAAGAUGCUAGUCGAUCUGGAGACAAGCUUUCCAGCCACAGCUGGCACCCUGGUUGUGAAGGAUGUUCUGCCUAUGUCCGAGGGGCCCACAGAACACUCAGCCCCACUGGACGGCCUAACCAAGGAUAUUGAAAAUGGUUUUCAUGUGUUUGUUAGCCAUUUGUGUCUAUUCUCUGGAGAAGUGACAUUCAUGCUCUUUGUCUAUUUUUAAAUAAAGUUGUUCUUUCUUCUUUUUGGUUGAUUUUUAGGAGUUUUAAACAUUUAUUCUAGACAUUAACUGCUAUCAGGCCUAUGAUUUAAAAAAAAUAUUUUUCCUAUUGUGGAGAAUGUCAUUUAGUUUUUUUGGUGAUGCCUUUUGGUGCACUAAUUUUUUAAUGUUGAAGAAGUCCAUUUAUCCAUAGCCUCUUUUAUAUUUGUCUCCUUGGUAUCAUUUCUAAAAAUACUCGGCCAAACCCAAAGUAAUGAAGAUCUAACCUCAUCUUUUUAUCUAAGUAUUAUAAGAUUUUGGGUCUUAUAUUUAGUCAUUGAUCCAUUUGAGUUACUUUUUGUAUAUCAUAAUGUUAUGUGUGAAAAUUCAGUUAUCCCACCAUCAUUUGUUGGGAGUGUUUGUUUUUUUUCUUCCAUUGAAUAGUUUUGGUACCCUGUCAGACAUCAGUUGGACAUGGAUGUAUAACCGGAGAAGCAAAGGGUCCUUGUCUUCACACAAGAAAGAAUUCGGGUGUGAGACAGAGAGUAGUGGAAACCAAAAUAACAAGGUUUAUUAGGGUAGGGAUAUCCAUAAGAAUGGAUGGGCACCUCUCCAGACAGGACCUGAGAGAGAGUGCAUAGUGCACAUUUAGGCUGGAGUUUUUAAGGGGAUGGGUUUUGCCUUCCCUCCCCCUCUCCUUCUUCUCCUCCCGAACAAAGGACUUGUUGGGUGUAAAUAUAAAAAAUUCCUUUCUGAGUUUCCCCCCCCUGAAGUUAUCAGACAGGGGAAGCCUGGCUAGCAUUGCUCCGCUUUAGAGGAAGGAUGUUUAUCAGGCCAGGUAGAAGGGGCAGGACCCCUGGAAGUCAUCAGGAUCCAGGCAGGACUUCUGAAAUGCAGAUACUGGGCUGCACCUGAAAGGUUAUCAGGAUGACUUUGAGAUGUGGAUGCUGGACUACUGUAGAUGUCAAUUCCUUAGCCCUUUGUCACACACACAUAAACUCAUUUCUGACUUCCUGCCUAACAGAUGUAUGGGUUUGUUUCUGGUUGCUCCAAUCUGUUCCAUUGGUCUCUGUGUCUAUCCUUAUACCAUUAUCCUUUCAAUCUUACCUCAUUUUGAGCAAACUGCCCUUAAGUCUUUCUGCUUUGUGUUCAACUCAAAGGUUGGUUUAUUUUUGUGUAGGUCUAUAUCUGGUAACUUAGACCUUGUCCCUUACUUUUCUAAGCCAUGCAUAUAAACAUAAAUUCAAUACAUCUUUCUUUCUUUCUCUCUGCUUCUCCCCUGUUCCCACCCUCCCCCCGAAAUAUAACUCUUUCAAAUAACAUCCUAUAUUUGACUUUGAAGAUUAUGUUUCCUGGUAGGUUUAUAGCCAUCAAGAACUUAACUUUUAAAACAUAUGGAUUUAAGAAUUUUUGAAUUGUCUUCUUUCUUUCUUUGAGGCAAAGAAAUGCCCUGUGACUCAGUGGAGGUCAUUUCAUUGGGAAGAAAAAUGUGUAAGAAGCUUACUGAGAGUCAGGAGAAUCUUGUUGACAGUGAAUUGUAAUGAUAGUGAAUUUUGUCCUGCCACACUCAUUUGUAUCACUUUUGAUGAAAAGCCAUAUAAAAAAUAUAUAUGUAUUUAUAUAUAUAAAAUCAUCUUAGUUCAGAAUGAAAAUUUACAAAAGAGUGGGAAUAAAAGCAGUAAAACAAAGAAUAAGUUAAGGAAAUAGAUAUUUUCAAUGUUACCCUAUGAGCAACAGUGUCAAGAUUUUUCAAGAGAGUCUGAAGACUUAGUAUUGCAUACCACGUGAAACUAAAUUGGCAUAAAAUUAAUGGAAUACUGUGGUCAAGAAAUUCGUCAUGAGGAAAAGCACCAGUAUUUGAUUGACAUAUUUCAGUUGACUUCAUAGUUUGACCGUAUAACUACCAUAUUUUUUUUUGUCUGUAGUUUUCCAGCGUGCUUGUUGGCCUAUACAUUAUCAAUGCACUAAUUGGCACCUUUGUAUCAAGGACAAAGUCUGAGUUCAUAUGAAAGUCUCAAGAUGGAAACAGUUAAAUUUUUUCAGGACAGUCAUGAUACUUCUAAAUGAUAAAUCUGAAUCCAGGGUAACACUUGCUUUGCAUUUUUAAAGAAGCUGUAUUAAGUAGCAUUUUAAACAACAAUGAAGCCAACAAACAGGAUCUUUGCUCUCUCUGAAGAGAAUUUACCUGGUCAUUUACAAAUACCAUUCUAACACCAUAGACAUGCUGUGUUGUCUACCCACAUAGUUUUCUUCAUCCCUGAAGGAAGUCUCUGUGGGAGAUGCCUCACAGCAUAUCCAUGCUGCCUACUUGUGGAGAGUUUGACUCAUUCGUUGGCAUUUAGAGGAAGAAACUGUUAUAAAUCUCAGACAUUUACAGUAAUGUAUUUCAAAAUGUGUGUGUGUGCGUGUGUGCGUGUGUGCGUGUGUGUAUUAGGAUAUUGAGGGAGCAGGAAGGGAAAUUUGAGGAGAAAUGAGAGAAACUGGUACUUACUGUCAUGACACAGACUUUCCAUAAUGUUCUGAUUUUUCUUAGCAUUUUCUAGGGCAGAGGUUUUUUUCUCAUGGUGUGAUAGAUCUAAAAAAGAUUAAUGAAUAAGUUUCAGGAGUACCAAAAGCUGCCUGAAAUAGUAUGACAAAUGUAUUGCAUAUGUGAAUUUUUCUGGAUAGAAGUUUUAUAGUUUUCUCAAGUGUUUCUGAUUCAGAAAACUCUUAAGAACUAAUAUAUAGAAAAGUUGGCAGAGAGUUUAUUAUUUUAAAAUACAGAUUUGUUGGGGAGAACUGUGCUAAGGAGAAUUCUGAGGUAUAGCAGAAAAGACUGAUAAGCAAUAUCCAUAAGGUAUGUGUGUGGUAGGGGAAGUAUUUGCUAUCUGUAAUUUAAAGUGAACUGUUCCAGAAAGUUUGCCAAAUCCUUCUGUCCUUAAGGGAUUAUUUAAGAAGCAUUACCUAGGGUUGAAGGAAAGUGCAACACAAAAGGGAUAUUUCAGCUUAGGCUAUGCAUGAAUUAGAAAAUUGAUUUUAAAAUACUUGAUCAUGGCUGUAGAUUUUUAAAUAGUAUUCCAUUCGUGAUAUUUUGUAUGUUGGAACCAUUUGUAUUUUUUCAGCAGUUUUUAAACAAAUGUAGAAUUAAGUUAAGAAAUAUUCUUUUGGGGCUGGUGUAGAAUUAAGUUGCAGUGCUAGCAUCCCUUAUGGGUGCUGGUUUGAGUUCUGGCUGCCCCAGUUCUGAUCCAGCUCCCUGCUAAUGUGUCUUGGAAAGCAGCGGAAGAUGGCCUAAGUCUUUGGGCUCCUGCCACCCAUAUGGGAGACCUGGGAGAAGCUCCUGGCUUCUGGCUUCAGCUUGGCUCAGCCCCAGCCAUUAUGGCCACUUGGGGAGUGAACCAGCAGAUAGAUGAUCUCUUUCUCUCUCUCCUUUCUCUCUCUCCUUCUCUCUCUCUGUAUCUCUGUCUUUCAAAUAAAUAAAAAAAAUCUUUAAAAAAUAUUAUUUGGUGGCAAAUUCAGCAGUUAAAUAUAUGAACACAGCUAUUGAUUAAUUUAAUUGCAACUGUGAAUAUGCAUUGAAGACCAGAAUUUGGCCCUUUGUGUCUAUGAUUCUGAGAAAACAAAAUGGAUAAUAUAUGAAAUUCUGAAGCUAGUAUAUAGGAGAAUUUACAAUAGAAAUGAAGUGAGCUCUCUAUAUAAUAUUGCAUAAGUCAUUGUCUGUGGGGAGCAACUGGGAGCAACUCGGACUAGACUAAGUUACUGGAAUUAAGACUUAUUCUAUACAUCUGCUCUCCCACAAUAUGGCGCUGGGAGAGGAGCAAACAGCUUCCACCCAGCUGCCUCUCACCAACUUGACAAGCUGCAGGACCUGCUCCUGAUUGGAGGAGAGCAGCGUACUCGGCGUGUGGGUAGCAGAGUUGGGAUUGGUGGAAGAGGACUAUAAAGGAGGAGAGAGACAACAUGCACCAGGAACAUCUAAAGGGAACGUCUAUCUGAAGGAACACCUGUGCAGCCCCCGAGAGAGCCGGCCGGCGGUGUGCCGCUCCCCCGCGGAAGUGGGGAAAGUGGCAGGGGGAACCGCCCUUCCACGGAGGUGGAAGUGUCGGUAGCCAACCCGGGAAGAACCAGCAGCAAACCCGGGGAGGGCCGAGCAGACGAAAGAACAGCGCAGGGUCUAGUGUCGCUCCUCCACGAAGAGGGGGAGCGACAUAAUGGUGCCGUGACUCGGAUAGGAAACCUAGGCAGGAUUUAGUGUCGUUCCUCCGCGAAGAGGGGGAGCGACAAUUGUCUGCUAAUCAUUUAGAGACUUGGGAUGCCUAAAAGCAUCCUCCUUUGUCCACUCUGAGCUUCUGGCUUCCUUGAUGUCCCAGAGCAAACAAAUCCGUAAAAGGAAAGAACUUCUGAUCUUCACUCUUACCUCAAAAGGCAAAGGGAAAUGUCAAGAGUGGAGAAACGGAGAUCCAGCUGACCUUCAUCAAAGGGCACUGCAUCUUUUAUGAGUAAGGAUUCUUGAAGUCAGUGUACCAAUAUAGGGGCUCUCUUCUUCUCACUCGCUCUGGCAAAAGUGAGAAUCCCAAGAAAGGUUUUGGAGGAGCCUAACCAAGCCCUUUAGAUGAAGUUUCAGCCCAUUAAGAAAUAUUUGUUCAUCACAAAUUCAGGGCAAGAUAUUGGACUUGUUGCUGGGGAUGCAUUAUGAAUCAGACGUUGAUAUCACCUGCAAGGCUCUUCCAGUACAGUAGGAGACCUAAAGUGUGUUUAUGGAUCACUCCAAUAGGAGGUGGAAAUCUCAAGUGCCAUAACACACUGCAGGUGCAUUGUUACAAGAACUCAGAGGGAGAAUGACCUCAGGACACACAGGUGCCUGCCAGUCAUCCCAGUUUGCUUGCUGGCUUCAUGCCUGGAAUCCAGUGAAUGUGGUAAUGGGGUGACUCCUCUUCUGGCUGGGUGUCUGCUAAAGUGCUCUUAGCUUAGCUGCCUGAGUAGCCAGAGUAGCCACUCUGUGAGCAGGAAUGUGAUACCGCACCUUGAGAGAGAAACUGAAUGCAUGUUUUUAGGUGCUACAACUAUCUUUAUAAUUUGACUAUUUAAUGCAAGCAUCUUUGUGGUUUGUCUUCAUGGCAGAACAUUUUAAUGAUUCAUUUUCUUAGUAAAGUAUUAUGCUAAUUUUUUUCUCAGUAUAGCCAGGAGUUGACUUGCUGCUUCAACAAUAAAUUAGCCUCUCUUAAGCAUAAGUCAAAGAGUAAAAAACAUAAAGAAUACUAUUGUGCAGUUCUGCAAUGUCAUUGGUAGUUAAAUAUAUUUAUUACUUUCAGAAAUGUUACUUAACUUUUAUACUCAAAUUCUCCUAAUUUGAAAAAGGCAAGGAAAAAUCAGAGAAUAAUCAAAUACUUGGUACAUAUCUCAAGAUAACUAUGUUUCCUAUAGUUUAUAGAAAUUAUUCCUUAACACCAAAUAGUAAUCCCUAGCCAGGAAAAAGGGAUGAAUAAUUAAAGUUUUUCAUACAAAUUUCUCAACAAAAUAGUUCUUAAGGUUAAAACAAUUUAUUGCUGAACUGAGAAAUUGUAAGCCAAAGCCUACUGAAGGAAUUCUGCAUUUCUUAGGUGUUUUGAGAGUAUCAUUCAAAGAAGAAAUUGCUGAAUCUGUCCAUGGAGUAAACCACCAACCAUUGUCUUUCAGUUCUCAACACUUGGAGAAAACUAGAACUUAGAGAGUUAAUAUCCACUCCAACUUCAUAUAUUCCUUCAUGUCCUUCUUAUUGUCUUUCUAUUGAAAUCAACUCCACUCCUCCAUUGACAACUUUCAUGUAGCUGUCAUUUUGAGGAAUGCAGACUAAUAGGAAUUAGUUAUUCCUAUUCCCCUGGGAGGAAGAAAUGAAGAGGAGAAGAGAGCCCAUGAAUGGCAUAGGAACAAAGUGGAGUCCAUAUGGAAAGAAAUAUGACAGUGAACAAAAGCAUUCCUCUCCUCACCAGGAAGAAACCUUUUUGCCAACAGUUUAUGGAUUGUUCUUAGACUCUGAUGAGGACUAAUGAAAUUAUGAGGUCUUCUAGCCUUGAUUGGAUUGUGAGAGACAAAAGAUUAAUUUAUUUGGAAGUCAGAGUCACACAGAGAGAGGAGGAGAGGCAUAGAGAGAGAGGUCUUCCAUUCGCUGGUUCACUCUCAAAUUGGCUGCAACAGACGGAGCUGUGACGAUCCAAAGCCAAGAUCCAGGAGAUACUUCCAGUUCUACCACGCAGGUGCAGGGACCCAAAGACUUGAGUCAUCUUCUGCUGCCUUCUCAGGCCAUAGCAGAGAGUUGGAUGGGCAGUGGGGCAGCUGGAACUCCAAACAGUGCCCAUAUGGGAUGCCGGCACUGCAGGUGGUGGCUUUACCCACUAUGCCACAGUGCCUGCCCCUAUAUCUGUGUUUUCAGCCAUCUCAGAUUGCACAUAUUCAGGAAAAUAAUUUCACAUAACCUGAAUAUGUACAGGCCAUUUUUCUUGUUAAUAUUCCCUAAACAAUAUAGUAUAAACACUAUUUAUACAACAUUUACAUUGUAUUUGGUAUUAUAAGUAAUCUAUAGAUGAUUUCAAGCAUGUGGGAUGAUUUGCAUAACAUAUAUGUAUAUACUGAAUUUUAUGUAAGUUACUUGAGCAUCCACUGAAUUAGGCAUCCAUUAAUGGAUGGAUCAUGGAAUCAAGCCCCCAUGGUUACUGAAGGAUGACUAUACUUUAGGUUACAAUCCAAUACUACAUUAUUUUGUUGCUUGAAAUUCACCUGUUUUGACAAUUUUGGAACUCUUUCAUUUGGUUCCCAUGUUUCUUUGCAUAUCCAUGUCAUUGCAUAUUUUUACUUUGAGCAUUUCCUUAAUUUUUUGCACUGUAAGAGAAUUGAGCCUCAUCCUUUAUAUAUCUUGUCCUCAUUUUAAAUGAACCAUUUCUCUAAGGAAGCUUAGUUUCUUUUAAAGAAGAGUGGAGAAUUAUAAUUGGAGAAUGGUACUAGAAAUAAGAUCUGGGCACUAAAUAUACUUGUAAAUAAUAUACUUAAAAACGUAUUUCUAAUUAUUCUUGGUUUAUAGGUGCAUAAUUCAAAUAGGUAUUUUGAUGUGGCAUCUAGUGACAUGGUAUGAUAUAAUAAAUAUAGUAGCAAUUUUGUGGGUUGCUUGGAUUUAUAUAAACAAUCAUGUCAUCUGGCAUGUGGACAUUUUUUCUUUCUUUUUUCUAAUAUGCCUAUCAUCUAUAUCAUUUUCUUGUCUUAUUGCAAUAGAGUGUCUCAGUCUUUUGAUAUGAUGUUUAAUGAGACUAUUGUGAUGAACAUCCUUGCUUUAUUCUUUUUUCUUUUUAUUUUAAAUUUAUUUAACAGGUAGAGUUAGAGAGAAAGGUCUUCCUUCCAUUGGUUCACUCCCCAAAUGGCUGCUACAUCCAGAGCUCUGCCAGUCUGAAGCCAGGAGCCAGGUGCUUCUUUCUGGUCUCCCAUGUGGGUGCAGGGACCCACGCACUUGGGCCAUCCUCCUCUGCAUUCCUGGGCCACAGCAGAGAGCUGGACUGGAAGAGAAGCAACCGGGACUAGAACCCGGUGCCCAUGUGGGGUGCCGGCGCUGCAGGCUGAGGAUUAACCAAGUGAGCCACGGUGCUGGCCCCUAUUCUUUUUUUUUUAAGAAUUAUUUUAUUUAUUUGAAAGACAGAAUUAUAGAGAGAGGUAGAGACAGAGAGAGAGGUCUUCCAUCCAAUGGUUCACUCCCCACAUGGCCACAAUGGCCGCAUCUGUGCCAAUCCUAAGCCAGGAGCCAGGAGCUUCUUCCAGGUCUCCCAAGUGGAUGCAGGGGCCCAAGGGCUUGGACCAUCUUCUACUGUUUUCCCAGGCCAUAGCAGAGAUCUGGUUUGGAAGAGGAGCAGCCGGGACUAUAACCAGCACCCAUAUGGGAUGCCUGUGCUUCAGGUUAGGGCAUUAACAUGCUGUGCCACGGUUCUGGCCCCUGCCUUAUUCAUAAUAUUAAAGGGAAACAUUUAAUUUCUCCCUAAGUUUUCAUAGAUACUCUUUAUCAAAUUGAGGGAACUGACAUAGGCAAUAAAGCCCAUGAAACUAAUUGUUCUUCUUUUAAAUCAUUAGUUAUCCUUGAAGAGGUUAGUGGAAAUGAGAAAGAAAAAGGUGUUUUAAAACUUAGCAUUGAUAUUUCCUGUUAAUCAUGUCUUUGAAUAGAUCUAAACUUCCAUGUGAUGUCAUUUCCUUUUGCUUAAGGAAUUUCCCUUAACAUUUCUUAAAAUGUUGUUCUGUCAAAGAUGAAUUCUCUCCAUUUUUAUUUGUCUAAAAAACUCCUUAUUUCAAUUCACUUUCGAAACUUUUGUUGAGUAGAAUAUUCUGUGUUGACAAUGUUUCUUCCAUUUCAGUGAGUAUGUCACUUUGUUUUCUUCUGGCUUAUACAGGUUUUUUUUUUUUCUUGUGCAAGAAGUUUGUUAUAUUCUUUGUUUAUAUAGAUUGCCUUUUUGUCCUAUGACUAUUUCACUUAUUUUCAAUUUGUAAAAUUGAUUAAAAUGAACCUUUAUCCAUCUCCUUAAUGAAAAAUAUCCCUGUUUCAUUUCAGGUAGUUUCUGUUACAAUAGCUUCAAGUUCACUUAUCUUUUCUUCAGUAGCCUUGAAUCUGUUGCCAACUUCAUUUAUUGCCCUUUUUAUUUCACAUGUUGUCAUCUUCAUGUUUAGAAUGUUGAUUCUUUUAAAAAAUAAUCUGUUUUAUAUAUUUUCUCAUUUGUGUAUUCUUUCUUACAUCCUUGAACAUGUGGAUUAUAUUUUUAAUAGUGACCCUAACAUUCUUAUCUGUUAAUUAUAUCAUUGUUAUUUCUGAGUUUCUAUUUAUUGAUUUAUUUGUCUCUUUUUAGAGUGCUAUUUUUUGCUUUGCAUGACUGGCUCUUUUUAUUAGAUGCUGGGCAUUGUAGAUUUCACAUUAUUUGAUGAUGAAUUUUUGAGAGCCUCCCCCCCCCCUCUCUCACACACACACACACACACACACACACACACACAGAGAGAGAGAGAGAGAGAGAGGAAAAGAAAGAGAGACAGCCAGACACUCCCAUCUAUUGGUUCACUAACUCAAUACCUGCCUGCAAUGGCCAGGAGCUGAGAUGGGGCCAAGGUUAGGAACGUGGAACUCAGUUCAGGUCUCUCAUGUGGAUGACAGAAUCUCAACCACUUGAGUCAACUCUGCUGUCUCCCAGGGUACAAUAAGCUGGAGCCAGAAACUGCAAGUCAGGGAUGGAUUUGGGACAUGGGCAUCUUAACUACUAAACUAAAUGUCUGUUCCCUGAUGAUGAAUUUUAUGUAUCUUUUUCAAUAACAUUGGGCUUGGUUUGGAGAUUCAGUUAGGUUUACUUGGAAUCAGCUAAUUUCCAGCUUGUCUUUAAGAAUUGUUGUUUGUGGACCUACAACAGCGUUUAUUUUUGAGUUAAUUUGCCCCAUCACUAAGGCAAUAACUAUUUGACUAAUGUCAGUGAUUGUUUUGCUGGUUGCUUUUUUUUUUUUUUUACCCAGAAACCUUUUAUUUAAGGUAUACACACUUCAUGCAUUUCAUAAAUACAAAUUUAUGCAUGUGCUACUCAGAACUUAGCUGAUGGCGUGAUGGUUCCCUUUUGUAUUGAUAUAUCUUGGGGCUUUCUUGGCAGUUUCCUACUUUUCAGUAUUCUGCUCCACAAAAGCUUGCCACUCUGGCCUGCCUUAAUAACAUACUCUAUCCCUUCAUUUCCACAAAACUGCUGGGUUCUUCUUGGAUUCAGUUUUUCUCCUGGCUUGGAAAUUGUUCUGAGGUUAUGAAAUGAGUCCAUUGCAGUAUUUACUUCAUAGUCCUCUGCUGCCUGUUUCCAAUGUCUGAAAGAUGUUCUUUUUUUUUCUAAGCACCUGGGUAUUUAAUAUGGCUAGGUAAAUCUGAUCCCCUGUUUCCCAGCAAAGACAGUUGUUAAAGUUUGUAAUGUUCUUAUGACACUCAGUCUCUAAGUGUGUUAACUUAUAGCCAUACACUUACCCAAUAUCAUUACUCUUGGAUUCAGAACCUGGUUUCUACACUGAUAGUGUUUUGUUCUAAAAGUUAAAUCAAGCCACCUCUCUGUGUUCUUCCCUGUAAGGAAGUUGCAUGGGAUACUUUUCACAUCACCUCCAUGUAGCACUAUAGUUGCUCCCAAGUAGACCCCCAUUCUUAAGAUACAAGGUUUUUAGACUUCCAGAAGACAACCCUGAUAGUCAGACAGGACAGGCUGAUAUAAUGGCUGAUGCUGAAUAUCUCUAUAGGAUAUACAGAGCAAGGCGCAACAUGGUGCCAGAACUCCCAGGAAGAGCAGUUUUCACAAUUCAGCUCCAGAAGAUUACAUUCGCAUCAGAACUGAUGCGGGUGUCAUUUCCUGCAGUUUUACAGCACAAUCCUUACUGUAGUGUAUGGCAGACUUGAAAUGCACCAUGCUUGAUUAAGCAGACUCUUUAUUCAGCUGAUGAGAGCUUGGGCAGCAGACCUGGAAGACCACUCCCUUGUCAAUAAGUCCAUAGCACUCUGGAAAUGCUUCCUUCUUGUUUGCUCCAGAGUCAUCAGCCUUAAUCAAGAGUACAAUGGAAGUUAACUGUGAAGAACAGAAGGCACUGCUUGUUAGAAGGACUAAAGGAGAAUGAAACAAUUAACUGCUUCUCUGGAAGAUGAUACAUUAUACUGUAGAGUUUCUGAUGAAAAAUCAGCUGUGAAUCUAAUUGGAGAUCCUCUGAAGGUCUUUAAAAAAGAACUGAACUGUGUGGCAUUUGCUGUCAGCCAUAUUCACAAGAGUAUGGAUUUAGGUAAGGAUUAAAUUCUAAAAGAUUUAUCUAAGCAGUACAGAUGAUCAAUAUGUACAUAUGUUUAUAAAUAAGAUAGCCAUGAAAAAUUACAUGAGUAAUGGAAGUAGGUAAGAAAAAACAAUGGCCUGUAAUUAAUGAGCGAAGUGGAAUAUAGCCAGCAGGAAUGCUAAAAUAGAAAUUUUAUCUGUUUAGCUUUGAAUAUAUUAUAGGAAACAGUAACCCAGUUUGCAUAAAGUUUUCCUUCCUACCUUCAUUAGGAUAACUGGUGGAAUUACUUGUGUGUUUUGCUGUCUCAAAGGAAAGACAUUCAUCAGAUGGUAGGUUAUGUUCAGACAACAAGUGGACUUAUUCAAAUUUUAAAGAAAAGGAAAUAACUAUCAGCCUACAUUUUAAAAAUGCCUUGACUAUCAUUUCUUGGGGGAAUGUCAACUGGACUGUGAGACUGUAGACAUCCACUGACUGAACUUGGUAAUUCAGCAAAUGUGCCCUUACAGACUUGUGCUGAAAUCAUCUUCCUUGAACUAAACACUGAUUAGAAUCACAUUUAUUCAUGAAUUUUAGCACUAACUACUGAUUCUUGCACUUACAUAGCUUGAGUGUGGUAAAAAUGUAGAAACACGACAUUGGAGGGAAAGGAAUUUCUAGAUAUUAUAUGCAUAUAGGACAGUUAUUUAAAGGUGAAACAUUCAAACAUCAGAGAGCUCUUUCAGUGAGAUGGCUUUCUUUUCUUCCGCCCUCAAUUGAAGAUGUAAACCCUGCUUUAAGCAGAGGCAGGAUCCUGCAAUCCCAAGUGGUAUAACUGUUUAAAUGUGGACCAGAAUAGAAUAUUUGUGUGAAAUGGGUUAUAUAACAGAUAUGAUUACUAUCUUUCUGAAAUUCUUUGUGCUCUUGUGGAAAGGUAUUUAUCAGAAUGAGUACAAUAGCUCUCUACUUGUGAUCCCAAAUCACAAGGACAGGUUGAUCAAAUUCAGUGGCAUUAUAGGAGAAUGAUCUGGUGGCUGUGAUAAUCAUCCUGGCUGUGCCCUUUGAAGAUAAAGAUGGGAAUGGCAGUAAGAGUCAGAUGCAAGGCUGGCAAAAUUAAAAUUGAUGACCACAUUACACAUUACACUCAAGCUCAUGCAUUAUACUCAAUAAAAGGGACCAUGCAAUACAAAUAGGAAAGGCACGAUUCCUGCUGAUUUCUAAUUAUAUCCCUUCUUUCCAUCUGUUUCUAUUCUAGCACCUUAAUUCAUUCUAGUAGAGAGAGAAACGGUUUCUUUAAGAUUUAGGAGCCAAUUUGAAGGUUUUUUUUUUAAGUGUAAAAUAUAAUAAAAAUAUGAAAUAAAUUCUAUUAUUUGCUGAAGUUUCACAAGGCCACUGAAAAUAUGAGUGUUUAUGAGGUUAGUGUGAAAUAUGGAGAUUACUCCAAGAUAUUGGAUGGGAUUUUCAACUUUGAUAUGCCGAACAUUGCCUAGGCAUUGACAAGGUUGAAACACAUAAGAAAUUUACUCUUUAUUCAAGGAUGGAAAUACGAGCUUGAAUAAUAUCUGCAGAAUAAAUUAUCUUUUCUUAAGUCCAAAGUCAUUAAACAUGGAAAGACAGGGUUCUUAAAGUUGUAACUAAUAGGGUUUCACAAGUACUCCCAGCAAGGGAGUACUUGCUGGGAAAGGAAGGGCAACUAUAGAGUGGGGUAAAGGAGAAAUAAGCCCUGUGAAGAAGUGUUAAGGCAAAUGAGAUAUUUGAUAUAUUAUCAUUGGUUGAUACUGUGACCACAUGUCUUGCUCUACAGAAUAUCCUAUGGAAUGUCAUAGAGUCCUGUAUGCUGUUCACUAAGAUUUUCUGUAUGGCAGAAACUUAUGUUCUUGAGAAUUCCCACAUUUGCCCUACAAACAUAAAUCGUUAUUUUGUAAGUUUUGAUAAUUCCUUUCUACUUUUUGUCCUCAUUUAUCUCUUCAUCCCGGGAUUUUUUUUUUUCCAUCAGAUUUAGCCCCUAGCCUUCUUCAACUCUCAAGCCCUUAUCAGUUGUUCAUAUCAGUGCAGAAUAAUCUCAUUCUUUCUGGCUUUCAGCCUGGAAUGCCUUUUCUAGUUCCUUUUUCUGGCAACUUCAUAUUUCAAGUGUUCCCUGUUUUGGUUGUUAGGGGAAGGUUGCUGUGGGGAGCAACUCAGACUAGACUAAGUUACUGGAAUUAAGACUUAUUCUAUGCAUCUGCUCUCCCACAAUAUGGCGCUGAGAAGGAAAACAGCUUCUGCACAGCUGCCUCUUGCCAACUUGAGUGAUGACCUCCAGGAGCUGAUCCUGCUCCUGAUUGGAGGAGAGCAGCGUACUCGGCGUGUGGGCAGCCGAGUUGGGAUUGGCGGAGGAGGACUAUAAAGGAGGAGAGAGACAACAUGCACCAGGAACAUCUAAGAGGAACACCUGUGCAGCCCCCGAGAGAGCCGGCCGGCAGUGUGCUGCUCCCCUGCGGAAGUGGGGAAAGUGGCCAGGGGGAACCGCCCUUCCACGGAGGUGGAAGGGUCGGUAGCCAACCCGGGAAGAACCAGCAGCAAACCCGGGAAGGGCCGAGCAGACAAAAGAACAGCGCAGGGUCCUGUGUUGUUCCUCCACGAAGAGGGGGAGCGACAGGUUGCCUUCCUGCUAUACUACCAUUGCUCUUUGUAAACAUCUCUGUGGCAUCAGUUGCCAUGAUUGGUUGAAAUCUGUUUAUAUUCAUGUUUCUCUGAUGAGACUAUAAGGGACCUUCUCACCAACACUUGGUUCAAUAUGUAGUAUGUAGUAGAUUCUUAAUCAAAAUUAAAUAUUUACUGACUAAAGUUUAAGUGGCUACUGAAUAAAAGAGUGAGUGAAUACAAGAAGGAUUGAUUGUAUGGCAAUGCUGGAGCUAUACUGAUUAACCCAAUUAUCUGAACUCCCUUAGUACCUGGAGUAGUCAAUAGAAAUUAUAUCACAUUUUUCAAGUGUAUAAUCUGUUUAUAAAAGUUGAGGAAUUAAACAGCAAAUCAAUAUUUCAAAACAGGCAGAAGUCUUCAUUUUCUUGAUGUUUAAAUGUAUAUAAACCUUAGUAAGAAGAAAAAAUAUAAAAUAAAAGAAUAGAGGUGACCUUAGAAAACAUUGAGCCAAAUUUCCAGAGAGAAUGUUGAUAAACUUUCCUAAGGUCUCACACUUGAUUAUUGGCAGAGGACCAAAACCCAUCUCCAAACCCCCAGUCCUGGGCACUUUUCUCUGUUCUCACUGCGGUGACAACUCGAUUUCAAAUGCUUAUACACCCAGCAUAGAAUACAGAUAAUGUGUUUCUCUUCUUUUUUGCUCUCACUGAAUAAUUUUCAGCAGUUCUUCCAAUUGCUUUCUGUUGGCCUGCUGUGCUCUGCUGAGUUCACCCUUGCAGAGGACAUCUAGUCAUAUAGCAAAGAGAAUUAUCCAGUAUUUUUUUCCAGUAUCACCUCAAUCAGUCCACAAAUUAUUUAUUGACCACUUGCGAUGUGACCAACACAGAGCUAAUAUGAUAGAGCUGACUGCUUUUAAACUCAAUGCAUCAAUUAAAUAGUACUCUAUGUGAAUUUUGACUUGGCAAACCUCAAGUGACAAUAUUUUUCAAGGUCACUGUGAAACCCAUGAUGGGAACUCAGUAAUUAACCUUAUAUGGAAUCAUGCAGUUUGGCCUGACACCUGGUGUAAGCUUUAAGAUGUCAGAUGCAAAGUAUCCAGAUUCUGUCCUCAGAUGUUCAAAGACUGUGUCCUUAUGGCCUUUACAUUUUGUGACGGAGCCUGAACACCCAAGUGGUAAUAGAAUGAGAAGGACAUUCCUUUUAUUAUAGAGUUUUGAAUGAUUCAUUCAACUUUGGAUUAGGACCAGGGUAGGUUCGGAGUGAUAAUGACCAUUGAGGGUUAUGACAAUUUUUGCUAUUACUUUUCCUUCAAAUUCCUUACCUUGUAUGACUCAGACUUUGGUGGAAAUAUAAGAAAUGGAUAUUUUCUAUAAUUUAGCUCAUUAAUUCAUAGUGCUUGGUGUACCUGGCCUGAGGAGCUGCUAGCAAAUGGUAGCUGGUUUGCUGCCUAGAGGGGAUGAAGAGGCACAAGCACAUAACAAGGCUCAGGUGACUGUGGAGUCAGACUAAUUCUUGGCAUCACCACAGUGUUGGCUCAGGAAGGGCUUUCACAUUUGCGUAUGAGUGUUUUCUUCCUGUUGAGUGGACACUAUUUGAGAAUGAAGUAGCUUCAGAAUAGAGUUGCCCAUUACUUAGAUAAAUAAAUUUGAAUUGCAGAUAAGCAGCAAACAACUUUUUAUUCUAAAUAUGCCAAAGCUAUUUCUGGGACACACUUAAUAUUAAUAAAAUUGUGUGUACUUCAGAUUCAAAUUUACUUGGGGAUUCUGCAUUUUUAUUAACUGACAAUUUAAUUUGGACAGGACCUUAUGUCUGUCAGUUACAUUAGGGGGAAAGAAGGAGCUUGAUGUAUUACUGCAAGACAUUCUGUGAAAUCCAUGUUGCCUAGCUAUGUGAACUGGUUCUUUUGAAAUCAGUUUAGCAAGGUCAGGAGAUUGUAAUACUGGGAUGGAAGACUGGCUGGAAUAAGUUUUAGGAAAAGUAUUGCAUCUUGGUUAUAGACAUGAACUUGUAGCCAAAUGAUAAGAGCUUGAAACCUGACUCUGAUGCUGUUAAUUAUGUUACUUUGGGCAGAUUACUUUAACUUCCUACACCCCAACUUCUUCAUCUCUGAAAUGGGGAGAAUAGUAUCUAGCUUAAAGUGAUUGUAAAGAUGAAUAAAAUUAAAACUGUGUAAAUGUUAAUUAUCAUUAGAGACACUCAAAAUUUUUUGAUAUAUUUUGACUUAUUUUGUAAGUUAACUUUAGGCUUUUUAUAAUUAAACUCCUCACCUAUUUUGCAUUAAUUCAUUGCACAAAGGGUAUUAACUUAAUCAUAUGUCCUGAGCAUUUAUUUGUUUAAUCAAAUUAUAUAAAUUUUAAUUGCAUGACCAUUGGAGUCUCUAUGUUAAAUAAGUUUUGCCAACUUCUAUAAUAUCACACUAGCAGGAGGAGAAUGCUCCAUGAAAGUGAUCCAGGAGAAAGCAAUUUUAAACUUAAUUUAAACAUAAAUACAGCAAAAUAAUAGCUAAAUGCUUCCAUGAAGUCCAAGUGAAGUCUACAUUUAAUAAAGUUGUUAUGAAACAAGCAGUUAUUUCCUUACAUUGCCAUGAAAAUGUGCCACAACUAUGAUAUCAGUAUGGUAUUAGAAAGAAGAAAAUGUACAAUGAGUUCACAAGCGUUUAAUGAGAAAUGUGGACUGAAAAUUUGCUGAGCAAGAAAUCUUUAGGCAUUUUAGAUAAUGUCACAAGUCUGAUUCAAUGUAAUCAUGCCAUUACACUUUAAAGUAUAAAUAUAAUUUAGAUUUCUCUCUUUGGUUUGUGAAAGAAAACUCAUUCUAUUCUAUCUUUUUUUUUAAUAAGCUAGAUAUAGUGGAGUUUUUCAGCUUUGGUUGAAACAUAAAUGAAAAUAUAAUUUCAUUUACAUAUAAAUUAAAUUAUAUCUAGUUAUACAGCAAUUGCCACUUGAAAUUAGAGAAAAAAUAUAUUUCACAGGCUUUGGGAAAGAGGGUUUUGAAGAUCUUGGAAUUAAAGGUCCAUUGGCCAGUGCUGACUGCAUUGAGAGCCAGCCAAAGUGUGAUGCCUGCAGGGUUGAGACAGAUUUUUCUGGCCUUGAGCCCCUUGUGAUUCUGGGUAUAAUAAUUCAAGGAGAACUUUGGUCUUUCUUGUUUAAAGAAUUAUUUAUUCGUUUGAAAGGCAGAAUGACAGAGAAAGAGGAGGGAGAAAGAGAGAGGGAGAGAGAGAGGGAGAGGGAGAGAGAGAGAGAGAGAGAAAGAGAGAGAUCCUCCAUUCAUUGAUUCACUCCUCAAAUGCCUGUAAGAGCAGACACUGAUCCAGGCUGAAGUCAGGACCCAGGAACUCCAUCUGUGUCUCCUACAUGGAUGGUAGGAACCCAAGCAGUUGUACUAUGCACAUUAGAGUAAAACUACUACUCAAACAGUAUUUUAUACAUUGUGUAUCUGUGUGGAUGUAAACUGUUGAAAUCUUUACUUAGUGUGUAAUAAAUUGAUCUUCUGUAUAUUAAGAUAAUUGAAAAUGAAUCUUGAUGAAGAAUGGGA